rnacentral:rRNA from 1 species
UAGGGAAUCUUCCGCAAUGGACGCAAGUCUGACGGAGCAACGCCGCGUGAGUGAAGAAGGAUUUCGGUUCGUAAAACUCUGUUGUUAGAGAAGAACAGCGCAUAGAGUAACUGUUAUGCGUGUGACGGUAUCUAACCAGAAAGCCACGGCUAACUACGUGCCAGCAGCCGCGGUAAUACGUAGGUGGCAAGCGUUGUCCGGAUUUAUUGGGCGUAAAGCGAGCGCAGGCGGUCAAUUAAGUCUGAUGUGAAAGCCCCCGGCUCAACCGGGGAGGGUCAUUGGAAACUGGUUGACUUGAGUGCAGAAGAGGAGAGUGGAAUUCCAUGUGGAACGGUGAAAUGCGUAGAUAUAUGGAGGAACACGAGUGGAGAAGGCGACUCUCUGGUCUGUAACUGACGCUGAGGUUCGAAAGCGUGGGUAGCAAACAGG